rnacentral:tRNA from 1 species
UGUGUAGCUCAGUUUGGCAGAGCGGUUGUCUUAUCAACAAUUGGUCGUCGGUUCGAGCCCGACCAUAC